rnacentral:tRNA from 1 species
UCCCAUAUGGUCUAGUGGCUAGGAUUCGGCGCUUUCACCGCCGCGGCCCGGGUUCGAUUCCCGGUGCGGGAA